rnacentral:rRNA from 1 species
UACGUAGGAUCCAAGCGUUGUCCGGAUUUACUGGGUGUAAAGGGUGCGCAGGCGGACUUGUUAGUCAGAGGUGAAAUCUCACUGCUCAACAGUGAAACUGCCUUUGAUACUGCAGGUCUUGAAUCCAGAAGAGAGUUGUGGAAUUCCGAGUGUAGCAGUGAAAUGUGUAGAUAUUCGGAGGAACACCGAUGGCGAAGGCAAUCCCCUGGGCCUGCACUGACGCUCAUGCACGAAAGCGUGGGGAGCAAACAGG